rnacentral:rRNA from 1 species
AACGAACGCUGGCGGCAGGCUUAACACAUGCAAGUCGAACGCGAAAUCACCUUCGGGUGGUGGAGAGUGGCAGACGGGUGAGUAACGCGUGGGAACCUACCUAGUGGUACGGAAUAACUCAGGGAAACUUGGGCUAAUACCGUAUGUGCCCGAAAGGGGAAAGAUUCAUCGCCACUAGAGGGGCCCGCGUCGGAUUAGCUUGUUCGUGAGGUAACGGCUCACCAAGGCGACGCUCCGUAGCUGGUCUGAGAGGAUGAUCAGCCACACCGGGACCGAGACACGGCCCAGACUCCUACUGGAGGCAGCAGUGGGGAAUAUUGGACAAUGGGCGCAAGCCUGAUCCAGCCAUGCCGCGUGAGUGAUGAAGGCCCUAGGGUUGUAAAGCUCUUUCGGCGGGGACGAUAAUGACGGUACCCGCAGAAGAAGCCCCGGCUAACUUCGUGCCAGCAGCCGCCGCCG